rnacentral:lncRNA from 1 species
AUCUCCUUAAUGACGUCUUUACUAGCUUCGGAUUCAAUUCACCAAUCAAAUCUAAUUCUGUGUGUGUCAGUCCUUCCACCUCAUGCACUUCAUCAAGUUUAAUUUUACAGGCAUUAGCUCCUUCACCAAAGAACUCCUUUUUCAAAAAGACUGUCCGACUGCUGACAAACACCUUUUGCUCUGUAAUGAAGUAGAAGUAGUACCCUUUAGUUUUCUUUGGGUAUCCUACAAAAAAGUAUUUAUCAGACUUCGAUCCAAGCUUAUCUGUCUUUAGAUGCUUGAUAUAAGCUGGACACCUCCAGACCCUAAGG